UACGGGGGGAGCAAGCGUUGUUCGGAUUUACUGGGCGUAAAGGGCGCGUAGGCGGCGUGACAAGUCACUUGUGAAAUCUCCGGGCUUAACUCGGAGCGGUCAAGUGAUACUGUCGUGCUAGAGUGCGGAAGGGGCUACUGGAAUUCUCGGUGUAGCGGUGAAAUGCGUAGAUAUCGAGAGGAACACCUGCGGCGAAAGCGCUCUACUGGACGGUGUCUGACACUCAGGGACGAAAGCUAGGGGAGCGAAUGGG
rnacentral:rRNA from 1 species